rfam:Stereum hirsutum FP-91666 SS1 unplaced genomic scaffold STEHIscaffold_9, whole genome shotgun sequence.
GGCCGCCUGGCGAAAUGGCAUCGCGUCUGACUACGAUUGUGUGAUCAGGAGAUUGCAGGUUCGACCCCUGCGGUGGUCA